GUUAAUUUGUUGUUUUAUGUGCUGAUGUUUUGGCAUUUGAAUGUAGAGCUGUUGAAUGUCGGCCAUUGAACAAAAUGCACGUUUGCCUCUUGUAAAUAUGAACUCUAUGAAUUUGUUGCUGAUACUCUGAAUAGAAAUUCUUCCUUGGAAGGACUUUGUGAUCAGCUUUUUACUACCUAUUUUACAAUGUAGGAAGUUUUAUCAUAAAUCUCUAGGCAUGGUCCAUCUUGCAAACCUGCACAAGUUACUGUUUCUAAUAUAACAAAUUUAAUUUUAAACAGUAUAAGGUGAGAGCCUAUAUCCAGAUGAAGUCACUAAAAGCAUGCAAAAGGGAGAUCAAGUCUGUUGUGAAUACAGCUGGAAAUUCAGCUCCUUCUCUCUUUCUUAAGAGCAACUUUGAAUAUUUGAGGGGCAAUUACCGUAAAGCAGUCAAACUUUUAAACAGUGCAAACAUUGCUGAACAUCCAGGCUUCAUGAAAACAGGUGAAUGCUUAUGGUGCAUGUUUUGGAACAAUCUUGGCUGCAUCCACUUUGCAAUGGGAAAGCACAAUUUAGGAAUUUUUUACUUCAAAAAAGCCUUACAAGAAAACGAUAACGCAUGUGCACAGCUAGGAACAGGUAGCUCAGAUCCAGGUAAGACUUGGGUCAUGGUUCUAUGUCAACUCCGUGACAACUUGUAAGAGAUGAAAAUAGGUGGUGGAAAAGGGGUGGGCAAAUAAAGAAAAUAAAUCUUGUAGACUUUUAGUAAUUAUCAGUGAAAUUCCUGUUCCGUUUGUUUUGAAAUGUGUUCCUAUUUUAUAUACAUUAUAAAAAGUUUUCUUGUUUUGAGUAGAAACACUCAAGUUUUUUUCUCUCCGAAAUGAUUUAAUGGUGAAAUAAUAAUUUGUUUGUUAUUAUUUUCUUUAAAAACUAGUUCUUAUCACACAUUUUGUUAUUUUUGCUGUUUCUCCUUGCUUUUGUAGUCCUAUUUACUAGUGUGAAGGCAGAAAAUGUUUCCUACUUCUUAACAGCAAAGUAGAUUUCUUCUGGAAUUUCCAAGACUGAA